UUGUUGCCCAGUGGGUACCGUAUUUUGAAUAAAAUUAUCAAUCUGAGUACUGUAGAGGCGAGAAUUGAUCCGCGACAACUAGGGGUCGAUCGCCUUGUGCCGUAGUCAGGAUGGGUUCAAUGAUGCCUAAGUGAUCGAUAAUGAUGUGUAGGGGUCACUAACCUACCGUCGAUGAAUAGAGCUCCAGUCGGAUGAUUGCGGAAGAAGACAACAAGAGACC
rnacentral:lncRNA from 1 species